CAGUGCCUUACCCAAUGAAAACUAGUAAACACACAUACACACACAAAACGCAACGCACGCACGCACGCACUCGCACCUUCAUCGCUCGUCCUUUCUUCUGCGGUGAUCAUCCAGGGUGCCUUCAUUAUCCGCACGCACACACACACACACACACAAACACACAUAGCCUUGCUCGCCCUCUCCGCUGCGUGCCCCCCCUCCCUGUCCCCAUCCUUCCCCGCGUACUAAGUAGAGGAGGAAGUAGCGGCAAGAAAGAGGCGACCCCGACAACAAAUAUAAACGGAGCCGGAGCGCUGCAUUAGUGCUGCCGGCCGCUUUGGGCCAUUGACUGUAUCGCCGGGGUCUGGGCUGUGCUCAAAAUACAGCCGUGACGCACACACAGACACUUGUUCCUCUCGUCGCCUUGGUGGGCAAGCCAUUGUGUCGUCUCUUCCUUUUCUUUUAGUAUUAUUGUGCGUGAGCACGUCCUUGUGUGUCGCCCUCCGUCUCUUGCUGUACCCCCUUCGCACGCUGCCAGCGAACGCUCGCUCGUCCGUGUCGUAAUUGUCACCGGUGUGGUGGUCGCUGUUUUCUUUUCGUUUCUUUUUUUUUGAUUGGUUUGUUCGCGUCUCUUGCUAAUCCUUCUCUUUCAGCUUCCUGGUUUGUUGUGUGUGGAGGCUCGGUGUCCGUGCGCACGUCAUUUUGCCCCUCUGCCGCCGCCGCCGGCAGGCCUUCUCUUCCCAGCAUAGCACCAUGGCAUACUACGGAUCCCAGCCAGAGCAAACCAAAGCUCAGAUUCGAUCUACUCGGGGCGAGACCAUUGACCUGGCUCUCCCUGUCACCUGCCUUGUGGGGGAGCUGCGCUCGUUUCUUAUCGAAGAGUACGGAUAUGACCCUAACACGCGUCUCCUGUACAACGGGCUCGUCGCUGACGACAACUCAUACGUGUGCGAUUACCCCUUCGGCUCCCUCAUGAUUGCCACCCCCGCUGACACACACUCGCAGCGCCAGUCGCUGCCCCCGCGACAGCCCGCGGUCGCACACGUGCCACCGCAGCAGCAACAGCAGGAGCCUAACCUCGAGUCGUCACGCCCGACUGCUCACCUAUCCCCGACCGUCAGCACAAGUGCGGACGCCGUUCGCAAAAGCAAGACUGCUGAGCCGAUGCCGACCUACACGAGCGCUGCUGCGCGCACGAUGAGCCCGGCAGAAGCGCCGCCGGAUACCGCGAAAGCGAAGCGCAGCACCACAGUACUCAAGCAUCGGCCCAAGAACUCGGCGCGCCAGCUCCGCUCCAUAAGCACCGAGUCGACCGGGUCACAAAACAGGCUCAUGAAGGGGGAUGGCACCUCGGAUACCGCGAGCUCUGUUCCCGCCGCAUCCCCGCAGCCGCCUCCACCGCCGCUUUCUGCAGCGAACAACGGUGCUUCGCCCGCACCGGGGAGCGGCCGUGUACAGCUAGCCACUGGCCAACGCAACUCUCCCUGGCCACAGGGAUCGCAAAACGCGACCGCGGCUCCCUCCAUCGCCGCACCGUCGCAGGCGGCCGACCUCCCACCUUCCCCGCGCAGUGAGGAACCGAGUGUGGCGGCCGAGGUGCCCAGCGGUGAAGGUGGCAAUGACGACGACAACCAGCGCCGGCGAGUGCAGCUGACCGUGGAGUGCCACAUCCCUUCUCUCAACCAGGUGGUGCCGGUGAGUGUGAACGGUGAUUCCUCCGUGUCGGAUCUAAUCCUGGCGGUGGCGGCCGCGGUUCCCGAGCUAAAACCGGAUGCGCAGGUAGUCCACCGCGGCAAACUGCUGCCGGUGUCGCCGAAGGCGAAGCUGUUUGACCACGGUAUUCGCAGCGACGCUCGCGUCUUCAUCGCGGAAGGGGAUUACAACAACGCCGAAAAGAUCACGCUGCUGGAGAUUCAGGAGGACAUCGCCGUGAUUGAGCGAGCCAUGGAGUCGCCCCUCACGGAUCUGCAGCGGAAGGGUUAUUACGAGGAGCUGAUGCGUAUCCUGUUCCGUACGGACGGGCUGCAAUCUCUGGAGGGGGAGUGGCGGCAGCGACGCAAAGACGCGGUGAAGCACAUUACGUCACUGCAGGACGCAUUGGGCGUAGAUGUAAAAGAGUCUUGAUAUGGGAUACCUCAUCUCUGUUCUGGCAGUGCCUUUGUGCGGUCGUGGGUGGCAAUGGCUCUGCUCGUCAUCCUCGUUGCCGAUUGUGUAUACGUAUUCGCGCUUCCUCCCUGGAUCUCUCCUCUCCCUUUGCUACCCCACCCGCACCGCCAACCCUUUACUCCCUUUUCGCCUUGCUUGCGUUCUUCAUGAUGCCGCGACUUUCUCGCUCCGUUUGCUGACAUGCGGGUGGGCAACCGACGUCCGCAAGCGCAGCGCAAGAGGGGAAAGGGGUGCGUGCCUCUCGGUCAGGGAAGGAGCCGCUUCUUUUUGUUUUGGAGAAUGUAAGGAGAACUAGUGUAGGCGGAGUUUUGUCUUGUGAUGUCAUUAAUGUACUCCAUCCACCCACCACCACCACUACCCCCGGGGAUUCUCGACAGCCUCUUCUUUCCCUGCGUUGUUGGUUGCGUUUCUCCCUUCACCUUCUUACUCUGGUCUUCCAUACUCCUUGUACGCCCGUUGAUCCAUGUGGUGGUGGCUCGGCACUGACACGGCACAAAUGUGAAAUGCAGGAACAAAAACAAC
rnacentral:misc_RNA from 1 species